rnacentral:rRNA from 1 species
AGUUUGAUCCUGGCUCAGGAUGAACGCUAGCUACAGGCUUAACACAUGCAAGUCGAGGGGAAACGAUAGAGAAAGCUUGCUUUUUCUAGGCGUCGACCGGCGCACGGGUGAGUAACGCGUAUCCAACCUGCCCACCACUUGGGAAUAACCUUGCGAAAGUAAGACUAAUACCCAAUGAUAUCUCUAGAAGACAUCUGAAAGAGAUUAAAGAUUUAUCGGUGAUGGAUGGGGAUGCGUCUGAUUAGCUUGUUGGCGGGGUAACGGCCCACCAAGGCGACGAUCAGUAGGGGUUCUGAGAGGAAGGUCCCCCACAUUGGAACUGAGACACGGUCCAAACUCCUACGGGAGGCAGCAGUGAGGAAUAUUGGUCAAUGGGCGAGAGCCUGAACCAGCCAAGUAGCGUGCAGGAUGACGGCCCUAUGGGUUGUAAACUGCUUUUAUAAGGGAAUAAAGUGAGCCUCGUGAGACUUUUUGCAUGUACCUUAUGAAUAAGGACCGGCUAAUUCCGUGCCAGCAGCCGCGGUAAUACGGAAGGUCCGGGCGUUAUCCGGAUUUAUUGGGUUUAAAGGGAGCGUAGGCCGGAGAUUAAGCGUGUUGUGAAAUGUAGACGCUCAACGUCUGCACUGCAGCGCGAACUGGUUUCCUUGAGUACGCACAAAGUGGGCGGAAUUCGUGGUGUAGCGGUGAAAUGCUUAGAUAUCACGAAGAACUCCGAUUGCGAAGGCAGCUCACUGGAGCGCAACUGACGCUGAAGCUCGAAAGUGCGGGUAUCGAACAGGAUUAGAUACCCUGGUAGUCCGCACGGUAAACGAUGGAUGCCCGCUGUUGGUCUGAAUAGGUCAGCGGCCAAGCGAAAGCAUUAAGCAUCCCACCUGGGGAGUACGCCGGCAACGGUGAAACUCAAAGGAAUUGACGGA